GUCGGUAUGGUGUAAUGGAUAGCACAGGAGAAUUCUAAUCUUCUUGUCUGGGUUCGAAUCCUAGUACCGAUA
rnacentral:tRNA from 1 species